GUGAUAAGGGGCUUGGUGAGGAGGGAGGGUGGGCAUUCAGGGUGUCUGAUUCCACCAGUGCCCUGUGUGGAGGGGCAGGUAGUUCCCUGUUUCAGGGUGUAGGAUGAGUGACUGCUGGAGGUGGCACCCAUGGGGACCCACUUUUCCACUCCUGCUCCACCUGCGCUCACAGCUCAGCAUCCAGUCUUGUCCCCUGUGCAGAAGUAGGGCAUGUGGCACAGCAGAAGGUGCCCUACCAGCAGCGUGCUAGAGGCUCCUGAUCUAGCAGGGACUGAAGGCAGUGAGCAGGAUGGACGUUGUCUAUCCCAGACCCCUCUGGAUUUCAUAUCCCUUAAUUUUCUCUGCCUGGCAACAGGACUGUGGUGACCUGUAGCUGUCCUGCCUGCUAUGUCCUGCCUUUGUGGGCAGGAAGGUAUCAGAGCCUUUUCAGAGGGACAAGAAGCUGCCAGAUGACCAGCCCCUAAGUGAGCACAGGUAUACCCCUACUGAAGGGAUGGAGAACAUCAGCCUCCCAGAUUGCCUGAAGGCCCUUAAAACACUCCAAAUCACCUGCUGUUGGUGCUAACCCAAAGGCUAUGAAUGGCUUGUAGGGACCAUGUUCCUGCUGCAGUGGCUGCCCAUGGAUGGAACUGGGUGGGAAACUCCAGUAGUGUCUCUAAGUGCCAGGAUACCCGAGUCACAAAGUCAGUGUUUCUUGAUUAUUUUUGUUUGUUUCCUGAUUUUCUGUACAUUUUCAGUCUCCUGCACAGAUGACAAGCCUUUUUCCCUCACACUUCCAUUUGUCUCCCUAUUUUUAGCCCAUCUGUAGCAUUCUUCACGUGAUGCCUGUGUGCACCGCUUUGAUCAGAGCUGCCGAUGAUGACGACACGACCUUGAAGCGUAACAGCCAGCAGCCAGCUCGCUGCCGCUUCCACCCUGACUGCGUCGGAGUGACUGGAGUAUCAAAGCCGACGAGGGGACACCAGCAUCCCUGGCCACCACUGUGCAUCCUGGCACCACCACCCAGGCCAGUCUUGUCCUGAUUUCUUCCCAAGACAGUGUGAAGAAGGCUGUAGCUGUUCUGCCUGUCAGCUCCGUCCCAGCGGCUUUUUGUGGCUGGAGUCACAAUUUGCACUGCUGCCCACUUUUGCUGGACUCUCGGUAUGGAGAGCGACUGUUACAGGCAGAGGGAGGCUGGGGAGGGAGGCCUGCGAUUGCUCCUCGGUGGGGAUCGGGAUGUGAGAGGUGAGGAUGCAGCACCUCUGCCUGCAGGUAAGGAAUCGCACACAGAGCCAGGUUGGUAGCUGAUGCGCCACACAGCAAUUCGCUGCCAUGAUUUGUGUGCCCUGAAGACAGUCGCAUGCAAGAAAAAAAAGAAAAACAAACAGGAAAAAUGAAUAGCUUUAAAGAAAAGAAAGUGUCAUUUCUGUAGGUAAUUAAUUACUAAUUAUACAGUCGCAGCAUUGUCUGUAUCAUUAAAAUUACUUGGGUUUUCAGUACAUUAUAGUUUUAAUUAAACAAAUCCUUGGAUUUUUUUCUCCUCCUUUGUAACACAAAUUCAUUUUUUUUAUUAGUGCCAAAGAAUAAAUUAAUUGUAUAAUUAGUGACUGUUACUUUGUCACUCCUGGAAGGGUUAUUUCCAGGUUGUAUGUAUGCAGUGGCUGGGGAAUGGUUAUGAAAUGCUGUCUGAUACCAAGACUCCCUGGAAGCAGCUAUCUGUGGCUGGGGAUGCUGGUGGAGGUGGGGAUUUGGCAGCACUGGGACACAGCCGGCAAGAAGGGGGUGAAAAACUCUGCCAGGGCUGGCUGGAGGAGGCUGUGAAACACUGGCGGGUGUUUCUUGCAUGCCUGUGAGUAAAUGAGUUUCAUUUUGAUGCAGAAAUGCCCUCUGGAAGGCAUCCUCAGGUCCUCCAGAAAGGAAGCUGUAGUGAAGCUGUGCCUGCUUCCAUGUGCUCCCCCUGGUACAGGUGAGGGAGAAACCCCAGGGUGGGGUUUUCAAGCAUGCACCAUCACAGUCAUCAUUACAGGGGGCUGAGGGCUGGCAGGGAUGGCCUGUCUCCCCCCUGCCCCACAAUGUGUAGGGUACACAGCAGAUUCAAGGCAGGAAGAGGGGAAUUUAGUAUGCAGCUAGUGAUAGGGUCUUAAUAGACCUGCACUUAUUAUUUGGAAAAGAAAGAAUCAGGAUUACAGGCUUAUGAGGGAUUAGCAAGCAUGAAUGCGUAUUUCUGCAUAUACUGCUCCUUUUAUAAACCCAUUGUGCCAUUAGGCUGAUACAGAGUUAUACCAUUACUAGCAUGACAUCAGUGUUAUCAGAUAGUCUUGAUUGUAAGAUCCAGCAGCUGUUCUAAGAAAAACAGUGCUUUCCCGCUGGCCUGCUGAUCCUCUCCUGUUUGUAGCUUGUGGUUUGGCUGUGAAACCACUUUGAUUUUCAGGCAGCAUCAACAUCACCAGUAGGACAGACAACCUGUGAGCAUUGGCCCACUUCCUGGAGGAUUGUGAUCACCUGUUGAAGUGACCAAAUUGAGGCUUUAAAUGUUUCAGCUGCCCUCUCCUGGGGGUUUUAAAGCAGAAGGAGAAGGAUGCAUGAGGAUCCUCAGGUGUCUGUGCACUCAGUUUUAGUGGUGCAGAGAGAUCUUGGAUUGCUCAGAAGAGCUCAGGUCACUUGUGGAUGUAUGUGCAGGGGUCUUUCAGUGUGGCUGAAACUCUGCAUUUCUGGUCUUAGCUAAAGUACAACAAGAUUCUCAUAAAGGUGGUAUGUCUGUUGGCUUCAAGUACUGCAUGCCCUCAAGGGCAGUAGCUGUGAGGUCUCAGCUCUUGGAGCCCUGGAGGUGUGCGAGCUACCUGGAUGUGUUAAGAAAUCCGUGCAAACAUAGGCGGCUUCAAGAGCCUGCCUGUGUUUCAUAGUCUGCAAGUCUUGACCCCAUGUGGCUGGCCACAUGGCCAACAUGGGUAACCUAAGCAAAUCAAAGCCCUUGGCUGUAGGCUUCACUAGAGAUGGUCUUUUUAAGUAGAGAUGUGCUGAGCAGGAAACUGGGAUGGAGAAGCAGGGAAUUGAGUGGUUAUGAAACGUUAGAGCCUCUAUGUGUGUGACUGCAAAUUUUGAUUUUUCACUAAAUAUUUUCCCCUUUAAUUUAAACCACUGUUUUUUUUCCAGGGAAUUGUAAUAAAAAGAGCCCAUGUGUUUCUAACUAAAUGGCAGCCUGUGCUUAGUAAAAAUCAAGGGUCAAGUUUGGAUGGAAUCCCUGUGUUGAUGUUUCUGUAAAUCAAAUAACAAUCAAGCUAAGGCAACUUGUUCCUGGAGCUGCUCAGAGCUGUUUGCUGCCAGAGCCAAAGGGAUUGAGAGCCCCUGGAGCAUCCAGGUCUGCAGGUAGCUCUGCAUGACACCAGGAGAUCCCUGUGCUGCUCAGACCUGCUUCAUUUCCUUGCUCUCUGUCAGUCAACCAUCACUGUACAGGACAGUGUCCCAGGAAUGAUCCGAGCCCUGGGGGCAGCCAGCUCCAUCUAUGGGCUCCCCUUAGCACUGUUGUUCUCACACCUCCUGCCUCUCCAUUUUCCUCUGGGGGUAAUUUCAGCAAGGAAAUUUGGCUUUUCCUGCCUCUGUAGUCCACAAAGUCUAGAUGCAUCCACCUAGGCACAUCCCACCUCCACGUUGGGAUGGAAAGCAUCCCUCUAUGGCAGGCAGAGUGGGCAACAUGCUGCUGCCAGGUGUACUGGUCCCUUGGGCAGCCACUUCCAUUUUGCCUCUUCUUGCUGCAGGUUCCCUCCCCUCCUAUUCACUGAUCUCCUGCAACACCACUUGCAUUGCUGACACUGGGCACUUUGGAAUUAGACUGGGACCAUUUCCCUAUUUAUCCUGUCAAGGUCCUGGUGCUUUUAGUGCUUAGAUCACUUUUGAGUGUGAGAUUCCAAAAUCGCUUGGCAUAUUUGAAAAAUGGUGUCUAUUUUUUUCUCUCCAUUGGAGUGUG